rnacentral:rRNA from 1 species
CUACGGGGGGCACCAGUGAGGAAUAUUGCACAAUGGGGGAAACCCUGAUGCAGCAACGCCGCGUGGAGGAUGACGCAUUUCGGUGUGUAAACUCCUUUUAUCAGAGAAGAAAAUGACGGUAUCUGAUGAAUAAGCUCCGGCUAACUCCGUGCCAGCAGCCGCGGUAAUACGGAGGGAGCAAGCGUUAUUCGGAAUCACUGGGGGUAAAGGACGCGUAGGCGGGUUUUUAAGUCAGGUGUGAAAUCCUAUGGCUCAACCAUUGAACUGCACUUGAAACUGGGGACCUAGAGUAUGGAAGGGGCAGGUGGAAUUAGUGGUGUAGGGGUAAAAUCCGUAGAUAUCACUAGGAAUACCGAAAGCGAAGGCGACCUUCUGGGACAUUACUGACGCUGAGGCGUGAAAGCGUGGGGAGCAAACAGGAUUAGAUACCCUGGUAGUC